rnacentral:rRNA from 1 species
AUUGAACGCUGGCGGCAGGCCUAACACAUGCAAGUCGAACGAGUGGCGGACGGGUGAGUAAUGUCUGGGAAACUGCCUGAUGGAGGGGGAUAACUACUGGAAACGGUAGCUAAUACCGCAUACCAUCGGAUGUGCCCAGAUGGGAUUAGCUAGUAGGUGGGGUAAAUGCUCACCUAGGCGACGAUCCCUAGCUGGUCUGAGAGGAUGACCAGCAGCACUGGAACUGAGGCACGGUCCGGACUCAUACGGGAGGCAGCAUUGGGGAAUAUUGCGCAAUGGGCGCAAGCCGGGUGCAGCCAUGCGGCGGGUAUGAAGAAGGCGUUCGGGUUGUAAAGUACUUUCGGCGGGGAGGCGUUACCCGCCGAAGAAGCACCGGCUAACUCCGUGCCAGCAGCCGCGGUAAUUC